UACGGGGGGCGCAAGCGUUGUUCGGAUUUACUGGGCGUAAAGGGCGCGUAGGCGGCCUGUGCAAGUCAGUUGUGAAAUCUCCGAGCUUAACUCGGAACGGUCAACUGGUACUGCUCGGCUAGAGUGCGGAAGGGGCAACUGGAAUUCUUGGUGUAGCGGUGAAAUGCGUAGAUAUCAAGAGGAACACCUGCGGCGAAGGCGGGUUGCUGGGCCGACACUGACGCUGAGGCGCGAAAGCUAGGGGAGCGAACGGG
rnacentral:rRNA from 1 species